rnacentral:tRNA from 1 species
GCCUGGGUGGCUCAGUCGGUUGAGCGUCUAACUUCGGCUCAGGUCACGAUCUCGCGGUCUGUGGGUUUCGAGCCCCGCGUCAGGCU